AUACGGAGGGUGCAAGCGUUACUCGGAAUCACUGGGCGUAAAGCGCGCGCAGGCGGCUUGAUAAGUUGGAUGUGAAAGCCUACGGCUCAACCGUAGAACUGCAUCCAAAACUGUCAGGCUAGAGUGUGGGAGAGGAAGAUGGAAUUAGUUGUGUAGGGGUAAAAUCCGUAGAGAUAACUAGGAAUACCAAAAGCGAAGGCAAUCUUCUGGAACAGUACUGACGCUGAGGCGCGAAGGCGUGGGGAGCAAACAGGAUUAGAUACCCCGGUAGUCC
rnacentral:rRNA from 1 species